rnacentral:rRNA from 1 species
CCUACGGGAGGCAGCAGUGGGGGAUAUUGCACAAUGGGGGAAACCCUGAUGCAGCGACGCCGCGUGAGUGAAGAAGUAUUUCGGUAUGUAAAGCUCUAUCAGCCGGGAAGAAAAUGAUAGUACCUGACCAAGAAGCCCCGGCUAACUCAGUGCCAGCAGCCGCGGGAAUGAGCUGGGGGCAAGCGUUAUCCGGAUUUACGGGGUGUAAAGGGGGCGUAGACGGUUAUGCAAGUCUGGAGUGAAAGCCCGGGGCCCAACCCCGGGACUGCUUUGGAAACUGGGUGACUUGAGUACAGGAGGGGCAGGCGGAAUGCGUGGUGUAGCGGUGAAAUGCGUAGAUAUCAGGAGGAACACCGGCGGCGAAGGCGGCCUGCUGGACUGAAACUGACGUUGAGGCUCGAAAGCGUGGGGAGCAAACAGGAUUAGAUACCCGAGUAGUC